UGCCCAAUGCGGGAAUCGAACCCGGGUCCUAGUGGUCGAAAACCAAACAGUUUAACCAGCCUUCCACUGACCGAUUUAAAAUAGCC